rnacentral:sRNA from 1 species
GUCGGGUAUCCUCGGUGCUCUACGGACAAAGGCACCCCGCCUUCCACGGCGGGGUGCCGUUGC